GAUGAACGCUGGCGGCGUGCUUAACACAUGCAAGUCGAACGAUGAAGCCCAGCUUGCUGGGUGGAUUAGUGGCGAACGGGUGAGCAACACGUGAGUAACCUGCCCUUAACUCUGGGAUAAGCCUGGGAAACUGGGUCUAAUACCGGAUAGGAGCGUCCACCGCAUGGUGGGUGUUGGAAAGAUUUAUCGGUUUUGGAUGGACUCGCGGCCUAUCAGCUUGUUGGUGAGGUAAUGGCUCACCAAGGCGACGACGGGUAGCCGGCCUGAGAGGGUGACCGGCCACACUGGGACUGAGACACGGCCCAGACUCCUACGGGAGGAAGCAGUGGGGAAUAUUGCAAAAUGGGCGCAAGCCUGAUGCAGCGACGCCGCGUGAGGGAUGACGGCCUUCGGGUUGUAAACCUCUUGCAGUAGGGAAGAAGCGAAAGUGACGGUACCUGCAGAAGAAGCACCGGCUAACUACGUG
rnacentral:rRNA from 1 species